CUUCGGACCUCUCGCGUCAAGAUAUGCCUAGGUGGGAUUAGCUAGUUGGUGAGGUAAUGGCUCACCAAGGCGACGAUCCCUAGCUGGUCUGAGAGGAUGAUCAGCCACACUGGAACUGAGACACGGUCCAGACUCCUACGGGAGGCAGCAGUGGGGAAUAUUGCACAAUGGGCGAAAGCCUGAUGCAGCCAUGCCGCGUGUAUGAAGAAGGCCUUCGGGUUGUAAAGUACUUUCAGUUGUGAGGAAGGG
rnacentral:rRNA from 1 species